rnacentral:rRNA from 1 species
UUACCAGAGUACUAUGAAUACAAAAAAUUUAAAACUCAAAGAACUUGGCGGUGUUUUAGACCACUCAGGGGAACCUGUCUCGUAAUCGAUAAUCCACGUUGUAUCUGACCUUUUUUUGUUUUCAGUUUGUAUACCGUUGUCGUCAGGUAACUUUUUAGAGAGUAGAAGUUAGCAAUAGAAAUAUGGUAAUUUAAUACGUCAAAUCAAGGUGCAGCUAAUAAAAAGGGGAGGAUGGGUUACAAUUAUAUGAUUUAUAAUACGGAAAAAUGUAUGAAGUGUAUAUUGUUUAAAGGCGGACUUGAAAGUAAAUUAAGUUAUGUGAAUAACUUGAAUAAGGCUCUGAAACGUGU